GGCCACCCUCUGUGUGGUGAUCGAUUGUGGAGCCCUGCAAUUGAUCGCCCUACAGAGGGAGGCC
rnacentral:pre_miRNA from 1 species